rnacentral:rRNA from 1 species
GACGAACGCUGGCGGCGUGCUUAACACAUGCAAGUCGAGCGGUAAGGCCCUUUCGGGGGUACACGAGCGGCGAACGGGUGAGUAACACGUGGGUGACCUGCCCUCAGCUCUGGGAUAAGCCUAGGAAACCGGGUCUAAUACCGGAUAUGACUCCAUGACGCAUGUUGUGGGGUGGAAAGCCUUGUGCGGCUGAGGAUGGGCCCGCGGCCUAUCAGCUUGUUGGUGGGGUGAUGGCCUACCAAGGCGACGACGGGUAGCCGGCCUGAGAGGGCGACCGGCCACACUGGGACUGAGACACGGCCCAGACUCCUACGGGAGGCAGCAGUGGGGAAUCUUGCGCAAUGGGCGAAAGCCUGACGCAGCGACGCCGCGUGAGGGAUGACGGCCU